rnacentral:rRNA from 1 species
UACCAAUUGUUGCCUCGGCGGAUCAGCCCGCUCCCGGUAAAACGGGACGGCCCGCCAGAGGACCCCCAAACUCUGUUUCUAUAUGUAACUUCUGAGUAAAACCAUAAAUAAAUCAAAACUUUCAACAACGGAUCUCUUGGUUCUGGCAUCGAUGAAGAACGCAGCAAAAUGCGAUAAGUAAUGUGAAUUGCAGAAUUCAGUGAAUCAUCGAAUCUUUGAACGCACAUUGCGCCCGCCAGUAUUCUGGCGGGCAUGCCUGUUCGAGCGUCAUUUCAACCCUCAAGCCCAGCUUGGUGUUGGGACUCGCGAGUCAAAUCGCGUUCCCCAAAUUGAUUGGCGGUCACGUCGAGCUUCCAUAGCGUAGUAGUAAAACCCUCGUUACUGGUAAUCGUCGCGGCCACGCCGUUAAACCCCAACUUCUGAAUGUUGACCUCGGAUCAGGUAGGAAUACCCGCUGAACUUAAG